rnacentral:rRNA from 1 species
UACGGAAGGUGCAAGCGUUAUCCGGAAUCACUGGGUUUAAAGGGUGCGUAGGCGGAAAGAUAAGUCAGAGGUGAAAGGUUACCGCUUAACGGUAGAACUGCCUUUGAUACUGUUUUUCUUGAAUUAGGUUGAGGUUAGCGGAAUGUGGCAUGUAGCGGUGAAAUGCAUAGAUAUGCCAUAGAACACCAAUUGCGAAGGCAGCUAGCUAGGCCUAUAUUGACGCUGAGGCACGAAAGCGUGGGGAGCGAACAGG